ACGAGGUGUAGCAAUACAUCUAGUGGCGGACGGGUGAGGAACACGUAGGAAUUUGCCUUAGAGCGGGGGAUAGCCCAGGGAAACUUGGAGUAAUACCGCAUGAUGUCGAAAGACCAAAGCAGGGGACCGCAAGGCCUUGCACUCUGAGAGAAGCCUACGUCUGAUUAGCUAGUUGGUGGGGUAAUGGCCCACCAAGGCGACGAUCAGUAACUGGUCUGAGAGGACGAUCAGUCACACUGGAACUGAGACACGGUCCAGACUCCUACGGGAGGCAGCAGUGGGGAAUAUUGGACAAUGGGCGCAAGCCUGAUCCAGCAAUGCCGCGUGUGUGAAGAAGGCCUUCGGGUUGUAAAGCACUUUAAGCAGGGAAGAAAAAACUCGAGCUAACAUCUUGAGUCUUGACGGUACCUGAAGAAUAAGCACCGGCUAACUCUGUGCCAGCAGCCGCGGUAAUACAGAGGGUGCAAGCGUUAAUCGGAUUUACUGGGCGUAAAGGGUGUGUAGGUGGUUUGACAAGUCGGUUGUGAAAUCCCCGGGCUUAACCUGGGAACUGCUUCCGAGACUGUUUGACUAGAGUACGGUAGAGGGCGGUGGAAUUUCCGGUGUAGCGGUGAAAUGCGUAGAUAUCGGAAGGAACACCAAUGGCGAAGGCAGCCGCCUGGGCCUGUACUGACACUGAAACACGAAAGCGUGGGGAUCAAACAGGAUUAGAUACCCUGGUAGUCCACGCCGUAAACGAUGGGUACUUGACGUCGGCAUGCUCUGCGUGUCGGUGUCGUAGCUAACGCGAUAAGUACCCCGCCU
rnacentral:rRNA from 1 species